CUCCAUUCCUACCGUUAAUCGUUCUCUUCGGC
rnacentral:scRNA from 1 species